UGCACAUCAAGGUGGGCAGGGUUACCAAGGCAACCUGCUUCUGGAAGAUAUAUGAAGACUUUCUUAUUUACCUAGGUUUGGUUUGGUGGUAUAGUUUCAACUUAACAACCAGAGGCACAUCCCCCAGUAGGUUUGGUGGUAUAGUUUCAACUUAAAAACCAGAGGCACAUCCCCCAGUAGGUUUGGUGGUAUAGUUUCAACUUAACAACCAGAGGCACAUCCGCCAGUAGGUUUGGUGGUAUAGUUUCAACUUAAAAACCAGAGGCACAUCCCCCAGUAGGUUUGGUGGUAUAGUUUCAACUUAAAAACCAGAGGCACAUCCCCCAGUAGGUUUGGUGGUAUAGUUUCAACUUAAAAACCAGAGGCACAUCCCCCAGUAGGUUUGGUGGUAUAGUUUCAACUUAAAAACCAGAGGCACAUCCCCCAGUAGGUUUGGUGGUAUAGUUUCAACUUAAAAACCAGAGGCACAUCCCCCUGUAGGUUUGGUUUGGUGGUAUAGUUUCAACUUAAAAACCAGAGGCACAUCCCCCAGUAGGUUUGGUGGUAUAGUUUCAACUUAAAAACCAGAGGCACAUCCCCCAGUAGGUUUGGUGGUAUAGUUUCAACUUAAAAACCAGAGGCACAUCCCCCAGUAGGUUUGGUGGUAUAGUUUCAACUUAACAACCAGAGGCACAUCCCCCAGUAGGUUUGGUGGUAUA